rnacentral:rRNA from 1 species
UACGAAGGGGGCUAGCGUUGCUCGGAAUCACUGGGCGUAAAGCGCACGUAGGCGGCUUUCUAAGUCAGGGGUGAAAUCCUGGAGCUCAACUCCAGAACUGCCUUUGAUACUGGAGAGCUUGAGUCCGGAAGAGGUGAGUGGAACUCCGAGUGUAGAGGUGAAAUUCGUAGAUAUUCGGAAGAACACCAGUGGCGAAGGCGGCUCACUGGUCCGGUACUGACGCUGAGGUGCGAAAGCGUGGGGAGAAAACAGG